UCUUAUGGACGAGCAAAGAAAGUGGUUUCCUGGGAUGAAAUCUAUUCCUGGUGAAGAUGCAGUGAA
rnacentral:pre_miRNA from 1 species